UACGUAGGGGGCAAGCGUUGUCCGGAAUUAUUGGGCGUAAAGGGCACGCAGGCGGUUCGCUAAGUUCGAAGUGACAAUCAACGGCUUAACCGGUGAACGAUUUCGAAAACUGGCGGACUAGAGAGCGAGAGAGGGACCUGGAACUCCGGGUGGAGCAGUGAAAUGCGUAGAGAUCCGGAAGAACACCGCUGGCGAAGGCAAGGUCCUGGCUCGUUUCUGACGCUGAGGUGCGAAAGCUAGGGGAG
rnacentral:rRNA from 1 species